AAUGAGAAAGGCUUUUAGAUGAUUGUUGCUUUCCUGGGUUAAAUCUGCAGAUACAUUAAGCACGUGAUUGCACUGCUUAGUGUAGACUAGAAAGAAAUAGGAAUUCACCUCAGCCAGCACCCAUGACCAGCCUCCCACAGACCUGUCACACAGGAGCACUGCCCUCUACCAGCAGCCAUGCACCAGUUACUCUGCGAGAGCUUUCUCUCCAUCCCCACUUCCAACAGUGUCGAGGAUGAUGUGGGAGCAUGUGCUUUUGGUGUCUUUACUUUCAGGCUCCUUCCUGGCUCAUCGUGGUGGCCAGUCAGCACAGGACUGCCAGGCCUGCUUCCCAGGGUGGUUCUGUUCUGAGUGCGGCCAGAGCUCCCCUGAAGGUCUGUGUAAGGAGGGGUGGUUCUGCCCGGAGGGCUCUGCGUCUGGGCAGCAUUCAGAUUAUUUAUGUCAUGUGGGUCACUAUUGCCCCACUGGCAGCCCUGAGCCCAUACCCUGCCCCUCUGGAAAAUACCAGGACCAGGCUGGUAAAAGCCAGUGUGAAACGUGCCCAGCAGGAAUGUUCUGUGCCCUAGAAGACCAUCCAUCCAAUCUCCAUAACUACUCACAUGGAGUGAUCAAACCAGUGGUCUGUCCAGCAGGAUAUUACUGCCCCCCGGGCACAAAAGCUGGCAACCAGUACCCAUGCCCAGCAGGGACUUACAGUAACAAAACUGGACUGAGAAAUCCUAGAGAGUGCCUGCCUUGUCCCGGAGGCAUGUUUUGUGCCAGUGCAGGACUCGUUUCCCCCAGUGGUCCUUGUUUGCCCGGGUAUUACUGCACUUCAAAGGCACACGUACCCAAUCCUGCCAACGAUGCCACUGGUGGCCUUUGCCCUGCGGGCCAUUACUGCCCAGCAGGCAGCAACGAGCCAUGGCCGUGUCCCACUGGCAAGUUUUUGCCUCAGUCUGGAAUGGUUUACCAGAAUGCCUGUCUGCCCUGCCCAGGAGGGAAGUUCUGCCAAGGAGAGGGCUUGAUGAGUGUUUCUGGAUCGUGUUCUGCUGGCUAUUUCUGUGACGUUGAAUCCACACGGCCAGACCAUAAGCAGUGUCCCCCUGGCUUUUACUGUCCCGAAGGCUCUGAAUCCCCGGUUCCUUGCAGCCCUGGUCACUUCAACUCUGAGAGAGGAAAGUGGAAAUCAGCAGACUGUCAGCUCUGCCCAGCUGGAUAUUUCUGCAGUGGUGGGAAACUGAAAUAGGAGAGAACUGAACUCACACAAGUGUGUACCAGAGCUGGAACCGCAAGUGAGAUUUCCAAAAGUACAGUUGCAUGCGGAAGCCCACGUUUCCCACAGGCAUAUAAUUCAGAAUUGCCUUUCCUUUGUACUAAGAUGUUCUUUGUCUGAGGCUGAACUUUGGAGAAUGCGUUCUUUCUGAUACUGGUGACAGGUAAAUGA
rnacentral:lncRNA from 1 species